rnacentral:rRNA from 1 species
CAGAGUGAAGGCCAAGUUGACGACUUUGCCGGAUUCGCCGAGAGGUGGUGCAUGGCCGCCGUCAGCUCGUGUUGUGAAAUGUCCUGUCAAGUCAGGCAACGAGCGAGACCCUCACCCUUAGUUGCCAGCGGGUCUGUCUGGACGCCGGGCACUCUAAGGGGACCGCUGUCGAUAAGACAGAGGAGGGAGAGGGCGACGGUAGGUCCGUAUGCCCCGAAUCCCCCGGGCAACACGCGGGCUACAAUGCGCGGGACAGAGGGCUGCGACCCCGAAAGGGGAAGCCGAUCCCUAAACCUGCGCUCAGUUCGGAUCGAGGGCUGUAACCCGCCCUCGUGAAGCUGGAAUCCCUAGUAACUGCGUGUCACUAUCGCGCGGUGAAUACGUCCCUGCUCCUUGCACACACCGCCCGUCAAGCCAUCCGAGUGGGAUCUGGAUGAG